GAGAGAGCGGGGCUGGCGGGCUGCGCGGUGGCCCCCACAUCUGGAGCCGCGGCCAGACAGCCCUGCUGGCUGCCGGCCUGGGUCCAGCUGUUUUUUCCCCUUCCCUUGAUUUUUCUUACAGGAUUCCUCCCCUCCUCCUCCUCCUCUUUUCCCCCUUCUUCCUCUUCAUUAAUGAAGUGUCUGAAUUAGCUUGAAAUCCCAGACUUCUCAGCUGUACAGAACUCUCAGGAAGGGGUUAGCCUCAGAGCAUAAAAACCUGGUGCUUAUAACUCGAAGGGCCUUAUCCAGUCCUAUACUCACAUUGUACAGAAGAGGAAACCGAGGCCCAGAGAAGGACAUCAACUUGCUCCAGUCAUACAACUGCUAGCAUGGACAAGACUAAAGCCCAAGUAUCCUGUCCCCUGUGUAUAGGUGCUCUUUUUAUUAACCCAACUUUUUCCUGAUUACUGUUCCAAGUCCACAUGACCUCUAAUGUUCCCUGAUCUUGAGAGUUUGUACUGGGGUAAAAUUCGUACUUGAUUAUA